GACCGGAAAGAUGGUGAACUAUGCCUCUGCAGGGUGAAGGUACGUAGUGAUCCUGAUGUGCAAAUUGGUCAUCUGACCUGCUUGUAGGGACCAAAUAUUAAUCCAACCAUCUAGUAAUUAG
rnacentral:ncRNA from 1 species